CUCGACAACAAGGGACUACAGAAUUCAACUGCAGGUUUUGUAAUUCCUCAUCUCUUGCUUUAGCUACUAGACUAGAGAAUCAUAGGGAAGAAGUCCUGGAAGAAGCACAUUUCCCUCACUGCCUUUGGAAUGAAGGUCACACUUCUGGAUCAGAGCAUCCAGCUUUCAGAAAUCACUUGAAAGUAGAAGAACAUUCAGAAGACACCCUGCAGUGUGCUUGCUCAGGCCUCUGGUCUACCCUGUGCUCCUGAAGAGGACGGUCACCACCAUCACAAGCACAAGGAGACCACAGAAUCUACAGAACUGCACACAGAGCAAUGCAGGCAGA
rnacentral:lncRNA from 1 species